GACGAACCGUGCGAACGUUGUUCGGAUUCACUGGGCUUAAAGGGCGCGUAGGCGGGCUCGCCAGUCUGUGGUGAAAGCCCCCGGCUUAACCGGGGAAGUGCCGUGGAUACUGCGAGUCUUGAGGAGGGUAGGGGCAUCUGGAACGCUGGGUGGAGCGGUGAAAUGCGUAGAGAUUGGAAAGAACACCAAUGGCGAAAGCACUUUACUGGGCUAUUACUGACACUGAGAGACGAAAGCUAGGGUAGCAAAUGGGG
rnacentral:rRNA from 1 species